rnacentral:tRNA from 1 species
GGAGAGAUGGCAGAGCCUGGCUGAAUGCGCCGCACUCGAAAUGCGGUUUACCUUCGGGUAACGGGGGUUCGAAUCCCUCUCUCUCCG